CGUAGGUGGCAAGCGUUGUCCGGAAUUAUUGGGCGUAAAGCGCGCGCAGGCGGUCUUUAAGUCUGAUGUGAAAGCCCACGGCUUAACCGUGGAGGGUCAUUGGAAACUGGAGGACUUGAGUACAGAAGAGGAGAGUGGAAUUCCACGUGCAGCGGUGAAAUGCGUAGAGAUGUGGAGGAACACCAGUGGCGAAGGCGACUCUCUGGUCUGUAACUGACGCUGAGGCGCGAAAGCGUGGGAGCGAACAGGAUU
rnacentral:rRNA from 1 species